UACGAAGGGGGCUAGCGUUGUUCGGAUUUACUGGGCGUAAAGCGCACGUAGGCGGAUCGUUAAGUGAGGGGUGAAAUCCCGGGGCUCAACCCCGGAACUGCCUUUCAUACUGGCGAUCUUGAGUUCGAGAGAGGUGAGUGGAACUCCUAGUGUAGAGGUGGAAUUCGUAGAUAUUAGGAAGAACACCAGUGGCGAAGGCGGCUCACUGGUCCAUUACUGACGCUGAGGUGCGAAAGCGUGGGGAGCAAACAGG
rnacentral:rRNA from 1 species